rnacentral:rRNA from 1 species
GAUGAACGCUGGCUACAGGCUUAACACAUGCAAGUCGUGGGGAAACGGCAUUAUGUGCUUGCACAUUCUGGACGUCGACCGGCGCACGGGUGAGUAUCGCGUAUCCAACCUGCCCCUUACUUGGGGAUACCCCGUCGAAAGACGGCCUAAUACCCGAUGUGUUUCAUUGACGGCAUCCGAUAUGAAACAAAGGUUUUUCCGGUAAGGGAUGGGGAUGCGUCUGAUUAGCUUGUUGGCGGGGCAACGGCCCACCAAGGCGACGAUCAGUAGGGGUUCUGAGAGGAAGGUCCCCCACAUUGGAACUGAGACACGGUCCAAACUCCUACGGGAGGCAGCAGUGAGGAAUAUUGGUCAAUGGACGCAAGUCUGAACCAGCCAAGUAGCGUGCAGGAUGACGGCCCUAUGGGUUGUAAACUGCUUUUAUGUGGGAAUAAAGUGGCGCACGUGUGCGCCAUUGCAU